rnacentral:rRNA from 1 species
UACGGAGGAUGCGAGCGUUAUCCGGAUUUAUUGGGUUUAAAGGGUGCGUAGGUGGGCUUUUAAGUCAGCGGUAAAAAUUCGGGGCUCAACCCCGUCCGGCCGUUGAAACUGGGGGCCUUGAGUGGGCGAGGAGAAGGCGGAAUGCGUGGUGUAGCGGUGAAAUGCAUAGAUAUCACGCAGAACCCCGAUUGCGAAGGCAGCCUUCCGGCGCCCUACUGACGCUGAGGCACGAAAGUGCGGGGAUCGAACAGG